GCCUGGGCAAGAAGAGCAAGGAAGACUUCCAUCACCAGUCAUCACACCUGCAACCAACUUCAUCCAGUCUCUUUCUCCUAUUGGCAUGAUCUGACACUCCAUAGAAAAUGUACCAGCUAUACAGAAAUCAUCGAGGACUUACCAGCGACAGCAGUGACACAUCCAGCUCUUUCCAGUGCGGCAGCGCUGAGAGCCAAAACAACAUCCUCCGCUCGGCUAGCAGUUCACCUCACACCUUGGAUGCAUUGCUGGCUGAAUUGAAGCUCCCAGAGAAAGCUCCAGUCCACAAGUCACCCCGCACUCGGCCCGGCCGCAGCAGUGCCAUCGUCCCAGUGGAUCUCAACAUGAGCGACGGGGAGACAAGUGUCUCAGACAGUGGCUCGGAGUCACCAGUAUGCGUAGAAAUGCCACCACAGCCCUUCAUUCAUGAGCACACCAGCAGCAGCUUCAAUGCUCAGGUU
rnacentral:lncRNA from 11 species